rnacentral:ncRNA from 1 species
AGUCUUCAGGGCAGGGUGCAAGUCCCUACCGGUGGUAAAGCCCACGAGCCGUAAGGCAGAUUCGGUUAGAUUCCGAAGCCGACAGUAUAGUCUGGAUAA